rnacentral:rRNA from 1 species
UACGUAGGUGGCAAGCGUUGUCCGGAAUUAUUGGGCGUAAAGAGCGCGUAGGCGGUCCGAUAAGUCGGCUGUGAAAGUCAGGGGCUCAACCCUUGAAAGCCGGCCGAUACUGUCGGACUAGAGUCCGGAAGAGGCAAGUGGAAUUCCCGGUGUAGCGGUGAAAUGCGCAGAUAUCGGGAGGAACACCAAUGGCGAAGGCAGCUUGCUGGGACGGUACUGACGCUGAGGCACGAAAGCGUGGGGAGCAAACAGG